UCAGAGUGAACGCUGGCGGUAGGCCUAACACAUGCAAGUCGAACGGCAGCACAGUAAGAGCUUGCUCUUAUGGGUGGCGAGUGGCGGACGGGUGAGGAAUGCAUCGGAAUCUACUCUUUCGUGGGGGAUAACGUAGGGAAACUUACGCUAAUACCGCAUACGACCUACGGGUGAAAGCCGGGGACCUUCGGGCCUGGCGCGAAUGAAUGAGCCGAUGCCCGAUUAGCUAGUUGGCGGGGUAAGAGCCCACCAAGGCGACGAUCGGUAGCUGGUCUGAGAGGAUGAUCAGCCACACUGGAACUGAGACACGGUCCAGACUCCUACGGGAGGCAGCAGUGGGGAAUAUUGGACAAUGGGCGCAAGCCUGAUCCAGCCAUACCGCGUGGGUGAAGAAGGCCUUCGGGUUGUAAAGCCCUUUUGUUGGGAAAGAAAAGCAGCUGGUUAAUACCCGGUUGUUCUGACGGUACCCAAAGAAUAAGCACCGGCUAACUUCGUGCCAGCAGCCGCGGUAAUACGAAGGGUGCAAGCGUUACUCGGAAUUACUGGGCGUAAAGCGUGCGUAGGUGGUUGUUUAAGUCUGUCGUGAAAGCCCUGGGCUCAACCUGGGAAUUGCGAUGGAAACUGGGCGACUAGAGUGUGGCAGAGGAUAGUGGAAUUCCUGGUGUAGCAGUGAAAUGCGUAGAGAUCAGGAGGAACAUCCGUGGCG
rnacentral:rRNA from 1 species